UUGACAAAUGCGAAUGAAGGACUAGAAAUAGCGAAACGCAACGCAACGCAACGCAACCAGUAUCUAACAUACGAGUAACUGAGAGGAAGCAUCGCAGCCAUCGACCAAUUUCAAUUGUCACUUUCUCAGAGAGAGACCAGAGAGAGAAUGAGCGGGGAAGGCAAGACUGUGUGCGUGACGGGUGCGUCCGGGUUCAUAGCCUCAUGGCUGGUCAAGUUGUUGCUCCAACGUGGUUACACUGUUCGAGCCUCUGUUCGCGACCCUUCUGAUCAGAAGAAGACAGACCACUUACUUGCACUUGAUGGAGCCAAGGAGAGACUUCACUU